rnacentral:pre_miRNA from 1 species
UUAAAAAAGUAGGAUAACGCUUUACUGGCUUUAAGUUCGGAUUUUUCGAAACUAAAAUUGCAAAAUCUGACUUGAAGGCAGGAAAUGCUGUUCAUCGAAAUCCUGG